rnacentral:rRNA from 1 species
CAGCCGCGCGGUAAUACGAAGGGGGCUAGCAUUGCUCGGAAUGACUGGGCGUAAAGGGCGCGUAGGCGGAUGGCACAGUCAGAUGUGAAAUUCCCGGGCUUAACCUGGGGGCUGCAUUUGAUACGUGUUGUCUAGAGUGAGGAAGAGGGUUGUGGAAUUCCCAGUGUAGAGGUGAAAUUCGUAGAUAUUGGGAAGAACACCGGUGGCGAAGGCGGCAACCUGGUCCUUGACUGACGCUGAGGCGCGAAAGCGUGGGGAGCAAACAGGAUUAGAUACCCCCGUAGUCCCUGUCUCUUAUACC